rnacentral:rRNA from 1 species
AGAGUUUGAUCCUGGCUCAGAACGAACGCUGGCGGCGUGGAUAAGACAUGCAAGUCGAACGAAUGUUCUUCGGAACAUUAGUGGCGAACGGGUGAGUAUCACGUGAGAAUCUGCCGAGAAGUUUGGAAUAACUCAUCGAAAGGUGAGCUAAUACCGAAUGUGGAACAUGUUCUAAAGGUGGGGACCUUCGGGCCUGCCGCUUCUCGAUGAGCUCGCGUCCUAUCAGUUAGUUGGUGAGGUAAUGGCUUACCAAGACGAAGACGGGUAACUGGUCUGAGAGGACGAUCAGUCACACUGGAACUGAGACACGGUCCAGACAACUACGGUUGGCAGCAGUCGAGAAUCAUUCACAAUGGGGGAAACCCUGAUGGUGCGACGCCGCGUGGGGGAUGAAGGGCCUAGGUCCGUAAACCCCUGUCAUUUGUGAGAAAUUGACCCGAAUUAAUACCUCGGGUUUUGAUAGUAGCAAAAGAGGAAGGGACGGCUAACUCCGUGCCAGCAGCCGCGGUAAUACGGAGGUCCCAAGCGUUGUUCGGAUUUACUGGGCGUAAAGGGUGCGCAGGCGGUGGGCAAAGUUCGAUGUGAAAGCUCCGAGCUCAACUCGGAAACUGCAUUGAAAACUAAUUCACUAGAGGAUCGGAGAGGGGAGUGGAAUUCUUGGUGUAGCAGUGAAAUGCGUAGAUAUCAAGAGGAACACCAGUGGCGAAGGCGACUCCCUGGACGUAUCCUGACGCUGAGGCACGAAGGCUAGGGUAGCAAACAGGAUUAGAUACCCUGGUAGUCCUAGCAGUAAACGGUGCGCACUUGCUGUGGGCGGAUUCGACCCCGCCCGUGGCGGAGCUAACGCGUUAAGUGCGCCGCCUGAGGAGUACGGUCGCAAGGUUAAAACUCAAAGAAAUUGACGGGGGCCUGCACAAGCGGUGGAGUAUGUGGCUUAAUUCGAUGCAACGCGAAGAACCUUACCUGGGUUUGACAUGCAUCUCUAAGUCUGUGAAAGCAGGCGAGUCUUCGGACAAUUUGCACAGGUGCUGCAUGGCUGUCGUCAGCUCGUGUCGUGAGAUGUUGGGUUAAGUCCCGCAACGAGCGCAACCCUCGUGUCCUGUUGCCACUUCCGCAAGCGCGGAAAGCACUCUGGACAGACUGCCUCGCCAAAACGGGGAGGAAGGGGGGGAUGACGUCAAGUCUGUAUGGCCCUUACGCCCAGGGCUGCACACGUACUACAAUGCCAAGUACAAUAGGUUGCCAACCCGUGAGGGGGAGCUAAUCCUUAAAGCUUGGCCCAGUUCAGAUUGUAGUCUGCAACUCGACUACAUGAAGCCGGAAUCGCUAGUAAUGGUGGAUCAGCUACGUCACCGUGAAUACGUUCCCAGGCCUUGUACACACCGCCCGUCACAUCAUGAAAGCCGGUCGUGCCCGAAGUCGGUGCGCUAACCCCUCGGGGAAGCAGCCGCCGAAGGUAUGGCUGGUGAUUGGGAUGAAGUCGUAACAAGGUAACC